rnacentral:rRNA from 1 species
GCGUAGGGUAUGUAGGCGGUAAAUUAAAAGUAGAGUAAAAGACUGAAGUAGACCUUCUUUAUUCUCUAUUCACUGUUUUACUGAGUUCUCGUGGCGAGGUUUGAAUUCCUUAAGAAAGAGUAAAAUUGUUGAUAUUGGAAGACAUUCGAAGGCGGAAGCGAUAAUCGAGCGAGAUCUGACGCUAAGUACUAAAGCAUGGGUAUGAAAAGGAUUAGAGACCUUGUAGUCCAUGCCUUAAACAAUGAGUGUUCAACGUCUUAAAACAAUUUUCUUUUUUUUAAUUUUUAUUAAAAUAGAAAACGGAGUUUUAGGGGGUUUAAAGCUAACGCGUGAAACACCGCCUGGGGAAUGUAGCCGCAAGGUUAAACUCAAAGGAAUUGACGGAGGCUUGUACAAGG